rnacentral:tRNA from 1 species
GUUGCGGUGGCCGAGUGGUUAAGGCGUUGGACUUGAAAUCCAAUGGGAUCUUCCCGCGCAGGUUCGAAUCCAGCACAACG